GUGAAUCAUCAAAUCUUUGAACGCAAAUUGCGCUCUCUGGUAUUCCGGAGAGUAUGCCUGUUUGAGGGUCAGUUUAAAUAAAAAUCGGGGUGGUUGCUUCCUUUCGUGGUUACGCACCGGAUUUGGUUCGUCUUUCCUUCGGUUAUAUGACCUAAAAUUUUGCAUGAUUUUUUUCGAACGUAUUUAAAUGAUUUUACGUACUUUUGCUAUGUCGAAUACUAGUUUCUGUCAUC
rnacentral:misc_RNA from 1 species